rnacentral:lncRNA from 1 species
UUUCUUUUCUCUCUCUCAAAAAAAAACUGUGUUCUUUCUUUUGGAAUUUCGGAUCACUCUUCACUCCUGAUCUGAGAUCACCUUGUCGAUGGUACGUUUCGGUUCCUGUCAGAGUUCGACUUGCCGGUCUCUCGACUUCAGUAGCGUAGAUUGUAGAACUGGGAAUUAGACAAUCUUGGAGCAAUCCCAAGAUUUCCCAACGCUUGGUCAGUGGCUCAGUGCCACAGACAGGUGAAAUACUCCAAGAUGUUUUAUACUUUCGGGAGCAACUGUUAUGAGAUCCGGGGCCUCUGGGAACACUUGGGCUUUAGCCUUUCCACUUUUAGAGAAGAACUUGGGCUUUAGCCUUUCCACUUUUAGAGAAGAACUUGGGCUUUUAGCUUUUUCCUUUCUAGAGAUGAACUUGGGCUUUUAGCUUUUUCCUUUCUUCCGCUCAAAAGAAAGAGCAUUUUCCUUUCUAGAGAGAAACUUGGAGUCAAAAUGGUUGAUAUUAAAAAAAUUGUAUUAUAAUGUUCAAAUGAAGAAAAAGGCGCGUAAAAUCCAACAUCUGAAUGUGUGCACAAUAGAAAUUGAUGAAAUAACACUGCAUUUCAAGGUCAUCUCAUCACCUAAUCCAGGGGCAGAGCUUGUGAAGGAUAUGAGAGUGCAUAAGUACACCGAUUUUUUUUUUUGGACAAAGAGCGGUGAUCAGUCCAACACAGUGCAUAUGUAUAUUGAGAAUUAGCUUGAAGAUUCCGCAAAGAAAAUACUACAGAGGCUCAUAUUAUGGUUACUGAACUGUAUUGGAUUGAACUUAUUUUAUAAUCAGUUGCUUUUUUUAGGGGAUUGCUUUUUUUUUAGAGAGAGUAACCUGUAAUUUUAUUCAAACUCAAAAAUCAUUACAGGUACAAUGCUUUGGAUCAAAGACAUUAGAAACUACAAGGUAGCUCCUAUAAUUAAGAAUUACAAUGAAAUCUCUAAACGCCAUAUUCUCCGUGGUAUCAAUAUACUUGAAAACAGGGGGGAAAAUAUAGCGAAACAAUAAAUAGACAAAAUAAAGCCCAUUAUCGACCUCCCCACACUUCCUUCCCUCCUCCAAAACCCCAUACAGUUUUCCAAACUCUACGGGCUCAAUUUCUCAAAGAGCACGACUACCAUACUGAGGCCCAACAUACCGCUAAAAAAAAAGGAGGACCAACAAACGAAUCUUGCAAAUCAGACAACAGCGGCCUGCUGCUGCGGCAGGCAUCCACUAGACAAAAUAAACUCUCGAUUGGAUCGUCGAGACCUAUUUCGAUUUACCAAGAAGUACUACUCUUUAGUGUCUUCCUCUAAAAAAAAAAACUCUUUAGUGGAUUUGCCGAUUGCCGAUUGCCGAUUCGGACGAUAGCAAAUUUUCAUAAAAAUUACUCCGUAGGUCAUCCAACGCAUGGCAACCGUUCUUACUAAUC